CCUACGGGUGGCAGCAGUGAGGCAUAUUGGUCAAUGGGCGCGAGCCUGAACCAGCCAAGUCGCGUGAAGGAUGACUGCCCUACGGGUUGUAAACUUCUUUUAUAAAGGUAUAAAGUUAGGCACGUGUGCCUUUUUGUAUGUACUUUAUGAAUAAGGCUCGGCUCACUCCGUGCCAGCAGCCGCGGUAAUACGGAGGAUCCGAGCGUUAUCCGGAUUUAUUGGGUUUAAAUGGAUCGUAGGCUGUGAGUGAAGUCAGAGGGGAAAGGCCCCCGGUCAACGGGGUGAAGUGCCAUUGAUACUGCUUGGCUGGAAGGCGGGAGCGGUAGGAGGAAUGUGCGGUGUAGCGGUGAAAUGCAUAGAGAUCACACAGAACACCGAUUGCGAAGGCAUCUCACGAAUCCGCGAUUGACGCUGAUGCACGAAAGCGUGGGUAUCAAACAGGAUUAGAUACCCCAGUAGUC
rnacentral:rRNA from 1 species